rnacentral:rRNA from 1 species
CCUACGGGUGGCUGCAGUGGGGAAUAUUGCACAAUGGGCGCAAGCCUGAUGCAGCCAUGCCGCGUGUGUGAAGAAGGCCUUCGGGUUGUAAAGCACUUUCAGCGGGGAGGAAGGCGGUGAGGUUAACAACCUCAUCGAUUGACGUUACCCGCAGAAGAAGCACCGGCUAACUCCGUGCCAGCAGCCGCGGUAAUACGGAGGGUGCAAGCGUUAAUCGGAAUUACUGGGCGUAAAGCGCACGCAGGCGGUCUGUCAAGUCGGAUGUGAAAUCCCCGGGCUCAACCUGGGAACUGCAUUCGAAACUGGCAGGCUAGAGUCUUGUAGAGGGGGGUAGAAUUCCAGGUGUAGCGGUGAAAUGCGUAGAGAUCUGGAGGAAUACCGGUGGCGAAGGCGGCCCCCUGGACAAAGACUGACGCUCAGGUGCGAAAGCGUGGGGAGCAAACAGGAUUAGAUACCCGUGUAGUC